GGGGAUUUAGCUCAGCAGUAGAGCACUUGCCUAGCAAGCGCAAGGCCCUGGGUUCGAUCCCCAGCUCUG
rnacentral:tRNA from 1 species